CGAUUAGGUUGAGUCUGCUCGAGAUUGAAUCAGUAAUUAUAGGAUCAAAUCAAUUAACUUGCAUGUAUUAAAAAUCUUAACCUAUAAUCUGGUCUUGGGUCAGUGGCUCAAGCCUUAAUUACUUAGGUUAACCUAAUUUGAAAUUGGUCGGGGUCAGUUAAUGUCUAAGAUAAGUAAUUAAGUGAUGGUUAGUUAAUUAGGACCGUUGUCAUUGGCAGCGGGGUGCCUCCCAUCAAUCUCUUACUUUCCUAGCCAACUG
rnacentral:lncRNA from 1 species